rnacentral:lncRNA from 13 species
ACUUUCCCAUGAACACAGUCUCCUGGGCAGUUUUGUCGUCCUUUCACACCUUUCUAUUCAGAGAUUUGUCUCAUGGAUCUGCCUGGAAUCUACUCUUGUGCAAGAAUGAAUGUAAUGGCGAUCCACUCAGAUGGAGUAGCAAUUAUACAAUGAACAACAAGUGAAAGAGGAAAGAAAAACAAGGUGGGAGGUAAUGUAAAUACAUUGAUUUUGUUAUCCUUAAUGACUGAGGUCAAAAGAUACCAACUAAA